GGUGAGUGGGACUGUCUUCACCUGGCUACAGAGAGUGCCCCUAGUCUGUGACGCUGAGUUCCCAGCUGACCUUCAGCCAUGAAGAUCCUUUAUCUGCUCUUUGCUGUUUUCUUUCUUGUGCUUCAGGAUGCUCCAGAAUUCUCUGAGGCUCAGGAUCCCUUCAAACUCUGUCGAUCCCGCAGGGGUUUCUGCUCCUAUAAGAGAUGUCCCUUCAAUUCUAAACUCAUUAGCAGAUGCGCUGGACGCUUUUUGUGCUGUCGCAGGAAAUGGUGGUUCUGAUUGUCUAGGCAGGACCUCUGCGAAUCUGGCAGACAGCCACUUGCUUCUAAAAUCAUCAGAUCUUGCUUCAAUGGAACCCUGAAGUGCAAUUCAUUUGGACUUGAAAGAACCUCAUGAGCUGGAGAAAUUCCAGAGAGGAGCCUUGUAUCGCCCAUAUCAGAUUUGUUACUCUCCUUUUAACCAAAACAACUUGGUUUGAAAUAAUCUUGCUGAUGUGUAGGUGGCAGGCCAGGGGGCUGUUUCUAUCAUUCAUCACCCUUAG